rnacentral:lncRNA from 1 species
AUUUGCCCCACUGUGUUGAACUAUUCAAAGUGAUGAGGAAAACACUUGAAAUUGAUCUUGUUUUGAUUUGAAAUGCAGGUUCGCGACAGCUUCAUGAGACUUUGCUUUGUUUCCUCAUUUGAAAGUUUUGGCCGUCCGGUGUGUUCGUUUUUCGCAGACCGCGUGAGUUCGCUGCCGCCAUGUUCCAGUCCAGUAAAUUGCCUGCCCGGAUUGUGACCGUGAAGAUGAGCAUCGCCACAAGACUGCGUCCUCGGGCUCGGGCUCCGUAUGGCCAGCGGAAGGGCUUGGUCUCCCGGAUUCCCGGAUAGAAGCCAACUUUUGUGAUAAAGUUCCUUUCCGAACUAUUUGGAAGGAUGCAAAAGAGCUGCAGAUGCCGUACCAGGAAGCGGUGCCAGUGAGAAGCAAGAUUCGGAUGCAGGGGCCAAGCUAUGCGUCAUUCGGAUGGUCAAGGCACAGUUUGAGUCGAUGGAACCACCGCGGUUCCACCAAAGAGAAUUCCGCAUCAACAAAAAGAUUCUCCAGUGGCCUCCAUCUCCGCCGGCACCGGUGCUUCACUCGCCGACGCUGAGGAACCUCCCAGGAAGCAGUGGUGGUGUCGGGACAACCGGAUGAAAAAAAUUACAAAAUUUUUACACACCAAGUUGUUCUUGAAGUUAGAAAAUAAAAGCAGCCAAAAAAUUUAAUUGCGCAACAUCUUCUUUAUU